rnacentral:lncRNA from 1 species
CUCACUCCGACAGGCCCCAAUUCCCGGGGAGAGGGCAACCACACGAGUACACAAAACACACACAGCCCGGAUCCUCAACUCCCCCUGCUAGACCACGCUCAGGGCGCUGCCCCCUCGCCCUGCCCUCCACCUGCCCAGGGCCUCCCGGCUCUCCUCGCUCCCUCACCUAUCCCUACUCCUGGCUUCCUCACCCCCUCCCUCACUCUCCCUGCUCCCUUUCCAGUAAGACCUCGACCCGACUCUAUCUCGGCUAUUUAGGCCGUGAUUUCCACUGGUGCUGCGCACCGCAUCCGUUCCUCCACGACCGCCAGGAUGGGGUGCUGCGGCCCGACUCUGUCCCAGCCGUGUCUGGGGGUCUCCAGCAUUGCGAACGAGCGCAGACGCGCCCAGAAGUCUGCCACCGCCCGGGCGCGUGCGCGGGCCAGUGGCGAGGCUCCUGUUGCGCCCGCUAUUGCUGCUGCUGCCACCGCCUCGCCGCCUCCCGCCCCUGCUUCCUGCGUUGGCCCGUCAUCCGCUGGGGCGUUUAGGGUGGGUCCUUCUUGCUGCAUUGCACCUCCCGCCGGGGUGAAGAAAUCUGUGAUGGCCCGCUGGCGGGAUCUCUGCUGCUGGGGCUGCCCCAUCAUCUGUNNNNNNNNNNNNNNNNNNNNNNNNNNNNNNNNNNNNNNNNNNNNNNNNNNGGCGAUGCUUACCACCUCGCCAGCAGUCCGGAGAGGACGGCUCCAGCUGGGGCCAGUCCAACUCCUACCCAGUAGCCCCCCGGUGGAAGUGGAGCUACCCAUCACGAACCUGUACAAGGCGGAACGGCCCUACUGGGAGAUCAAGGGGAUCCCCACCAACCUGGAUCCCAGAGCCAUCCCUGGUUUCCUUGCCGUCUGCUACUUCACUUCGUGGUUCCGGCGGGAUGAAUCAGACAUCCAUGAGCUGAAUCCCACUCUGAUGGCAGACACCUGGCGAGUCAAGGUGGCGCAGGACACCCCCGGUCUACCGGGUGAAAAACACUACGAACUCGCCAGGGCGGGGGUGGCAACCAGGUCCGGCAUACUGAGGGCCUCCAGACUGAAACGGAACGAUCAGGAGGGACCCUUCACUAUGCCGUGCAAAGCACCACCAAGGAAGGAGCUGGCGCGCCAGACACAGCAGUUACAGCAAAUGCGGCGGCAGGGCCGUACUGCACAGCCUGUAGCUGCCGUGGGCCAACCAGGCCCCUCAAACGGGGGAGGGCCCUCGUAUGCAGCGGCCGUGAUGCGGCCAAGGUGGGGCAUGGAGGCAGCCAUGGGAGCAGGACCCCAGCUUGCACCCAUGGGGAGGGGGCUCAACCCGGAGCUGCAGCCGUAUAUCACACCCCCACCCGUGCCGCCUGCUUCAGCCAUCACCACCACCAAUGUGGCCGGGGUAACCUCCACCACCAUUACCACGGCCGCAAACACCCCAGCCGCCAUAGCAGCUACCAAUCAUGCAGCCAGCAACCCCGCCGUACCUGCGCAGCCAUUGCAGCGGUCCACUCACAAACGAGGCGAAACUGGUCCGCACGUCAGUCUCCUCCUGGGGAUUGCGGGCUCUCGGAUGCAGCCCAGCGCGAGACACAGCAAAAACACCUAAAGCCGCGGGGGGGAUGACAAGCCAGCACGGCGCCCCCCAAUAAAGCCCAGAAAAGGCACGGCUCGCAGACGCUGCCUGCUCCCGCUAACCACACCGAAAUCCCUCCCCUCCUGACCCUGACCGGCCGGAACCAGCAACACCUGUUCUCCACCUCCAAAACACUCUUCUCCACCGCUUUCCCACCUCCUCUCCACUCCCACAAGCCACCUACGUGUUCUCUACUCUGAUGCCAGACAGCACAGAACCCAUUCCCCUCACUCCGACAGGCCCCAAUUCCCGGGGAGAGGGCAACCACACGAGUACACAAAACACACACAGCCCGGAUCCUCAACUCCCCCUGCUAGACCACGCUCAGGGCGCUGCCCCCUCGCCCUGCCCUCCACCUGCCCAGGGCCUCCCGGCUCUCCUCGCUCCCUCACCUAUCCCUACUCCUGGCUUCCUCACCCCCUCCCUCACUCUCCCUGCUCCCUUUCCAGUAAGACCUCGACCCGACUCUAUCUCGGCUAUUUAGGCCGUGAUUUCCACCGGUGCUGCGCACCGCAUCCGUUCCUCCACGACCGCCAGGAUGGGGUGCUGCGGCCCGACUCUGUCCCAGCCGUGUCUGGGGGUCUCCAGCAUUG